rnacentral:rRNA from 1 species
AACGAACGCUGGCGGCGCGCCUAAUACAUGCAAGUCGAGCGAGAAGACGUAGCAAUACGUUUGUAAAGCGGCGAACGGGUGAGGAAUACAUGGGUAACCUACCCUCGAGUGGGGAAUAACUAGCCGAAAGGUUAGCUAAUACCGCAUACGACUCUUGGUCUGCGGAUCAAGAGAGAAAGCGAUACCGUGGGUAUCGCGCUCUUGGAUGGGCUCAUGUCCUAUCAGCUUGUUGGUGAGGUAAUGGCUCACCAAGGCUUCGACGGGUAGCUGGUCUGAGAGGACGAUCAGCCACACUGGCACUGCGACACGGGCCAGACUCCUACGGGAGGCAGCAGUAAGGAAUAUUGCGCAAUGGGCGACAGCCUGACGCAGCGACGCCGCGUGGGGGAUGAAGGUCUUCGGAUUGUAAACCCCUUUCGGCAGGGAAGAUGGAACGGGUAACCGUUCGGACGGUACCUGCAGAAGCAGCCACGGCUAACUUCGUGCCAGCAGCCGCGGUAA